CAUACUUAGUGGCAGACGGGUGAGUAACAUGUGGGUAUCUUCCCUAUGGUGAGGAAUAACACGAGGAAACUUGUGCUAAUACCUCAUAAGUCUUUACGGAGAAAGCUUUAUGCGCCAUUGGAUGAGCCCGCACUUGAUUAGUUUGUUGGUAGGGUAACGGCCUACCAAGACUGUGAUCAAUAGCUGAUUUGAGAGGAUGAUCAGCCACAUUGGGACUGAGACACGGCCCAAACUCCUACGGGAGGCAGCAGUAAGGAAUCUUGCACAAUGGAGGAAACUCUGAUGCAGCGAUGCCGCGUGAGUGAAGAAGGCCCUUGGGUUGUAAAGCUCUUUCGUCGGGGAAGAAAAUGACUGUACCCGAAUAAGAAGGUCCGGCUAACUUCGUGCCAGCAGCCGCGGUAAUACGAAGGGACCUAGCGUAGUUCGGAAUUACUGGGCUUAAAGAGUUCGUAGGUGGUUAAAAAAGUUGGUGGUGAAAUCCCAGAGCUUAACUCUGGAACUGCCAUCAAAACUUUUUAGCUAGAGUAUGAUAGAGGAAAGCAGAAUUUCUAGUGUAGAGGUGAAAUUCGUAGAUAUUAGAAAGAAUACCAAUUGCGAAGGCAGCUUUCUGGAUCAUUACUGACACUGAGGAACGAAAGCAUGGGUAGCGAAGAGGAUUAGAUACCCUCGUAGUCCAUGCCGUAAACGAUGUGUGUUAGACGUUGGAAAUUUAUUUUCAGUGUCGCAGCGAAAGCGAUAAACACACCGCCUGGGGAGUACGACCGCAAGGUUAAAACUCAAAUGAAUUGACGGGACCCGCACAAGUAGUGGAGCAUGUGGUUUAAUUCGAAGAUACGCGCAGAACUUACCAACACUUGACAUGUUCGUCGCGACUUUAAGAGAUUAAAGUUUUCGGUUCGGCCGGACGAAACACAGGUGCUGCAUGGCUGUCGUCAGCUCGUGUCGUGAGAUGUUGGGUUAAGUCC
rnacentral:rRNA from 1 species